rnacentral:lncRNA from 1 species
CAGACAACUGUUACCCAUAUGGAGAAAAAAAAUAGAUCACUAACUCACACUAUAUCCAAAAAUGAAUUCCAAGAGAAUUACAGUUAACUUUAAAACAUUUAGGAAAAAAUGUUUUUUAGACACUAUUUUUAUGGUCUUAAGUGAGGGACUGACAAAAAAAAAUACAAACCAUAAAGUAAAAAAGAAGAAGAAGGAAAGAAGAUAAAAUUGAGAAAUUUGAUGUUAAACAUUCUGUGAUGAAGGAUGCCAAAAAACAAUGUUUAAAGGCAAUAAAUAGCCUUGGAGAGAGAAAAUUUCUGUAAGUAUUCAUAAUAUUUAGUGAACACUUAGUACUCUAUAAGGAAAAAACAACCCACUACAAAAAAGUGAGCAAAGUCUAGAGUCAGGUAAUACAAAGAGAAAGAAAAAAAUCCCAAAUGAUGAAAAACCGUAGGAAAAACCAACACUAAACACAUAACCUCAUAAGUAAUCAGAGAAAUACAAAUCAAGACAAUUAAAUACCUUUUCAAUACAUCAGAUUAGCAAAUUUUAAAAGCCCAACAAUGUCAAGAGUGGGAGAAGAUGCAGAAUAAUAAGAAUUGUACACAUUGUUGCUGAAAGCAAACUGAGAGCAAUUUGGCAACGCCUACCAACCUUUAUGAUGUUUGUACCCCAAGACCCAGUAAUUCCACUUCUUCUGUAUCUUUGAAAAGUUCAACAAAUCCACAUGGAAACAAGUCCAGAGAAGGUCACAAUAGAACUGUUUAUAAAAUGACAACCUGGAAACAUCAGUUAGGGAGUGGAUAUAUUAUGAUAUAUUUAUAGAAAGAAAUUGGUUUAUGUCUGAGUCUUUUCAGGUUGCUAUAACACAAAUACCAUAGACUGGGUGACUUAUGUAACAUUUAUCUUUCAGUUCUGAAGGAUGGAAUCCCAGAUCAAGGAGCCAGCAGAUGUGGUGGUGUGGACCCACUUCCUGGUUCAUAGAGGACCUUCCCACUGUGCCCUCAUACAGUGAAGGGAUCCUAUCAAUAGAAGCUGUAGACAAAUAUCCAUUCUUCGUCUGAGGACAAAUGACAGAGGAUUUAACCAUUCAGGGAACUGAAAAGAACACGGAUGGCAUCAAGCUUGGCCCUAGCUGACAGAGGCUCAGAGGUAGAAGAUGGGAGCCGAAAGAGUGAAUGCUUUCAUUUUUUAAAUGAGUAAUUAAGUGAUGCUCUCUAAGGUCAACAGAAUGAGAAAUGAGGUUUCCAAGAAUUUGUUUGAGAAAUAAGCAAUGUCCUUUAAGUGGAGGGACGGAGCAUGGAGAGGGAAGAGGUCUGAGAGAAGACACAGACGAGGCUGAAUCAGGGAGAGAAACCCCAUUGACUAUAAAAGGAAGGCAAUAAACUGAGAAAGAGUAGUGUUAUGGGUCGAAUUAUGUCCCCUCAAAAGAUAUGUUCAAGUCCCCAGUACCUGUAAAUGUGACUUAAUUUGGAAACACGGUCUUUGUAAAUGUAAUCAAGUUAAGAGGAGGUCGUUAGGGUGGGCUCUAACCCAAUAGGACUGCGUCCUUAUAGGCAGAGGAAAAUGCCAUGUGAGGAGGGACACACAGGGACACAGAGGGCAAGCUAAGGACCGAUGGCACUUCCAGGAGCUGGAAGAGGUGGGGGGUGGAUCCCCCUGAGCCUUCAGAACAAGUGUGGCCAUGCUGGCACCUUGAUUACAGACUUCCAGCCCUCAGAACUAUG